rnacentral:tRNA from 1 species
UAGCUCAGUGGCGAGAGCGCCGGACUGUGGAUCCGGAGGCCGCAGGGUUCGAUUGUAGAGAGCCUGU